UACGUAGGGGGCGAGCGUUGUCCGGAUUUAUUGGGCGUAAAGCGUCCGCAGGCGGUCUACCAAGUCUGGGGUGACAGUUGUCGGCUUCACCGAGAAAGUGCUUCAGAAACUGGUGGACUUGAGGGCUUGAGAGGAAGGCGGAAUUCCGGGUGGAGUGGUGAAAUGCGUAGAUAUCCGGAGGAACACCGAUGGCGUAGGCAGCCUUCUGGCAAGUACCUGACGCUCAUGGACGAAAGCUAGGGGAGCAAACGGG
rnacentral:rRNA from 1 species